UUACAACCACCCAACCCCAUUUUGCAUAGAAGAUAUUGUUACCAUGGCAACAGAAGACAACAGCGAACAGCAGCACACCGCAAUACAUCAAUCAUCAAGACAGUGAAGUGUACCAUAAUUGUAAGAUAUGAUGCAGAUUACUCUGGCAGUCAAGCUGUGACCAUGAGACAAAAAGUCAAUAGAAUCCAUCUAGGCCUGGCACGGUGGCUCACGCCUGUAAUCCCAGCACUUCGGGAGGCUGAGGCGGGCGGAUCACGACGUCAGGAGAUACAGACCAUCCUGCCUACUAACACUGUGAAACCCCGUCUCUACUAAAAAUACAAAAAAUUAGCCAGGCGUGGUGGCGUGAGCCUAUAGUUCCAGCUACUAGGGAGGUUGAGGCAGGAUAAUCGCUUGAACCAGGGAGGCAGAGGUUGCAGUGAGCCGAGAUCACGCCACUGCACUCCAGCCUGGGCGACAGAGCAAGACUCCGUCUCACCAAAGUAUCCAUCUAAAUGCGGAUGCUGCAACAGACACCACUGAGACACUGAAACAACCCUGGAAGUGGAAUUUUUGUUACAUUAGAUAAUUAAAUCUUUUAUAAUGUAAACUCCUGUUAUGUGGGUAUAUGCUACUUUCAAUAGCUCCUUACUUGAUAUAUGAAAAUGACAUCCAAUUAUGAAAUUUUUUUCCUCAAAGUUAAAUGGUAAGAAAAUAUUGGAAAAGCAGAUAAAAGAAAAGCUCAAUUCUAUC
rnacentral:lncRNA from 1 species